ensembl:lncRNA novel transcript
AGGAACCUACUCUCAGCCGAAAGGACAUGACUUUUCCAUGCUUGCCAGUAGCCAGGAUGGCGUUGCACUGAGACAGCCACGCUUUUGAUCAGCCUUGUGACAAUUAGCAACAUAGAUUAGAUGAUUGAUUGGACAUCAACAGAAUAAUCUGUGAUUAUGAAAUAAAUUCUCUUUGGAAAGUAAGAAAGUCUUUCCUAAAUUCAAAUGAUCAUUCUUAUUUUAGCUCCUUCUUUUAAAAGUCUGAGACAACUGAACGAAACUCAGCUUUCAAAAAGCCAAGGACGUCUUUGAAAUUUCAUUCUACAUUCCUGGAUUACUGAUGCUGCCUCUCUAUCAGAGCUCUUUAUCCUUCCUUCCCUUUUUGCAGACUUCAAAUCAGCCUCAGUUUUCUUCAAUUAUCCUUUUGCCUCUCCUUGCCUAGAAGAAACUCCGAAAAUUUUUUGCAUAUUUGAUGGAUAAGAUGGAAAGGACGGUAGGUGAGGAAAUACAGCAGCUAAGAUGACAAGCCAGCUCUCCACUGACCACACAGGCACAUCUCUAGCAAGGGACAGGAAGACAGAAGAAUGAAUGCAACAGGACCGCUAAGAAGUAAAGACAGUCUUCAGCUAUGCAAGAAUAGCAGCUAGAAAUAGACAAACUGAAGAAGAGUUUAUGGAAGGAGGAGCUGUUUUGUCCAGAGAGCAGCCUGGUAGUUUUCCGUUUUCAAAUGCUUGGCUUUCAGGGCUCUGAUGUUUCCCUGCACAGUUGUGUCCAAUCAUGACAGAGACAAGGGAAACAGCCAAGGCUACAAUAUCAGAUUUAUACCACUGAGGACUGUGGCCACGAGAGGGCAGUAGAGGAAGCUUAUCAGAAUACUUGGACAGGAGUAAACUCGUGUGCGCUCUAAUCGCGAGCAGGGACUACGCAGAUCCUGCGAACUCGCUGGGGUCCAGCUUGCAGGCCGCUUCCGGAAAGCCGUGUCUAGAGGCUGCGGAGUUACUGAGACUGUGUGGCGAGGAAUCAGUGGCCUUGAGGGCACCGAGACAUUGUCAUCCAGAAUCCCGAAACCUCUCACCUUAGGUUAUUAAAAUAAGUUAUCUUAUUGCCACCCCUCUGAUUACCCUGCCAGAAAGAUUCUCUGAAUUGGAUAUAGAAAGCUCUUCUCCCGUCCCCAAUGCCCCCAUGCAAGUCGGGACUUACCAGAUGCCCAGGAUCCCUAUCAGGGCUGGAAGUUUGAGAUUCAAUUCAGAGCAAGGUUCAUCUUCUCAUUGCAAUAAUAAUAAUAACAACAACUUCAAGCCUUAU